GGGCCGGAUUGGAUUUGACAGCGGGCCGAGGUGGUAAGUAAGCAUGCAGUGCGGAUGGAGGCGGGCACUUUAAACUCGGCUUUCAAAAAUUUAAUUGGCGAAAAUAAGUACGCUCUCGCUGCUUGAUUGAAGUCUAGUAGAUCAGCUUAAUUCUGGCUAAAGGUUGUCAGAACGAGACAUCGCCCGGGAGCAGUUUUUCCGAAGCGUCCCGAUUCGGCGGUGCAGUGAAAUCGGAAAUAGCCGGCAAGUGGCCUCGCACGGUUGGUGAAUUUUUAAGAGGAUAAGGUGACGAUUGGUGGCUUCGGUCCUGUCGUGGCUCGAAAAUCGAAGUCGGAGAUAAGCAUGUAGAAAGCUUAUUGCUUCCCUGUUUGGACGAGGGUUCAAUCCCCUCCCGGUCCAC
rnacentral:tmRNA from 1 species